rnacentral:tRNA from 1 species
UAGAUUGAAGCCAGUUGCUUAGGGUAUUUAGCUGUUAACUAAAAUUUCGUGGGAUGAAAGCCCACCAAUCUAG